AGUAAGGUCAGUUAAUAUAAGCUCUUGGGCCCAUGCCCCAACAAUGUAGGUUCAACCCCUUCCCUUACUG
rnacentral:tRNA from 1 species